GACGAACGCUGGCGGCGUGCUUAACACAUGCAAGUCGAACGGAAAGGCCCUGCUUUUGUGGGGUGCUAGAGUGGCGAACGGGUGAGUAACACGUGAGUAACCUGCCCUUGACUUUGGGAAAACUUCAGGAAAAUGGGGCUAAUACCGGAUAGGAGCUCCUGCUGCAUGGUGGGGGUUGGAAAGUUUCGGCGGUUGGGGAUGGACUCGCGGCUUAUCAGCUUGUUGGUGGGGUAGUGGCUUACCAAGGCUUUGACGGGUAGCCGGCCUGAGAGGGUGACCGGCCACAUUGGGACUGAGAUAGGGCCCGGACUCCUACGGGAGGCAGCAGUGGGAGAUAUUGCACAAUGGGCGGAAGCCGGAUGCAGCAACGCCGCGUGCGGGAUGACGGCCUUCGGAUUGUAAACCGCUUUCGCCUGUGACGAAGCGUGAGUGACGGUAAUGGGUAAAGAAGCACCGGCUAACUACGUG
rnacentral:rRNA from 1 species